ACUUGCGUGACACAAAUGGUAAGUUUGAUUCUUCACCGAGAUAGUUCGAUAAUGUAGCUUCUGUGAUGGAUGUUUAACGUGUUCCAGGGUUUGGUAAGGAGUGAGUUCUGAAUAUCAUAGUGUCCUUAAGAGUGUUUUGGUUUAAGAUUAACGUAGAUGGGGGCCAUCUAAGGCUCUUCUGGUCUCGCAUCUGGAGGAGGGUUGAUUCAUGAUAGCAGAUUAGCAGUGGUCG
rnacentral:misc_RNA from 1 species